CCGUCAUUGCGCCCUCUGUCCACCACCGCCGCGUGGGCAUCGCUCCGACUCCGAGUGCCCCUACCCUCAGCAGGACGGCGACGCUCGCAUAUCUUUUUUCGUGCGAGCUUUUUGACUUGUGAACCGCCAUUGCCGCCCCCGUCGCGCUUCAUCCGGGCUGAGCGGCGAUGUGGGCACUGACAUGCCGGCCAAUUCAGAACGCGGAGGCGCUGCAGCUGAUGGAGCGUUACAAGGCGCACAAUGCGCUGCAGAGCAACCAGUGGCUUCUGCCGCGACACCUGGCCUGCUUCGCCGUCCGACCUCUCUAUCCAGCACAGCUGGUGCUGCCGACCAGCAGCGUCAUUCAACUUCCGCUCAGCGCCGUUCCCUUCAGCUCGCUGCCGCUCUCGAGAAAGCGCAAGGUCCUCGGCAUGUGCCCGCCGCCCUGCACGCCGCCGGGCUCGUGCUCCUUACUUGAGUGCAGCGGAGCUGCCAUGCGAUGGCGCCCGGCCUCCCUAUCGGAAUGCUUUGAUGCGGCAUUUGUGUGCAGUGACUCCCCAUCGUCUCAUCAGCACUUGCUGUGCGCCACCGACUGCGCUGGCAGCGUGACGGUUGCGGAGGAGGUGACGGUGUUCAACGCUCAAGAGACGAACAAUCCGUUUCUCGUCGACGCUGAACUUGCGCACCGCAACCUCCUCACCAAGGAGACGUACCAGCACUCCAUUGGCAGCUCGCUGACCACUAUCGCCGCGCAGUUCCGCUACACAUCGUUUGACUGGGUCGAGGCGACGGCGGCGGCCGCUGCAGGUCUGCGCGUGCGCUCCAGCGCAGCGCCUCAUCUCGUCAACUGCGUCGACACGCUGAGAGUGGUGCACAUCUCGCAGCUGCGCUACACACGCCAACAGGAGCUGGUCGCCAAGAUCCCGCGCAUGACCCUCAUCAAAAGCAUGACCAUAUCGUAUAUCUUCUACCACAAACGCUGGCGCCAUCACAAAUCAAUGGAGCUGAUGCGUCCGCUCCUCCACCGCAACGUUCCAUGCUGCGGCACCCCACAAGCACAAGCCUUGCAGCCGCUGCUUUGGAUUGCGGUGGAUCUACACAUGGAGUUCCGCGGUCCUGUGACGGAGUGUGCACGCCACUCACGCAAACAGUUCUACAACUCGCAACAGCUGGAAGCGGACACGUGCGCUGUGCCCAGUCGUUCAUAGAAGCGCAGGGGACCGAAAAGAGGAGGACGAUUCAGACACUCUGGUGAGAUAGCGGAAGCGAUCUUCCUCUAUCAGUGCAUAUCACCUCUUGUACACGGAGCAUCAUCUAGCGUAUCUUUUGCCUUGCCAAAAUUUUUUUAUUUCCUCUGUCGACGGCUCACACCUCUGGACGCUUGCUGCGCUGUCGACACACUGACCAGUACUUGCACGCCCUAUCGCCAGUGCUCUCCGCACCUACGCUUAGCACGCUUCUUUCUCUCUCUUCCACGGCCUGCUUGCUGGCACUCUGCCAUUGUUGUCCACGACUGGCACCUUAUCAUCUUUUCUUUUGUGUAUGCCCUCUGCUACUUGCAUCAUCUGCUCUCUCCAUCUCUCAAGGUGUUCAACUGCCGAGCGCGAUGGCGUCCUCGCACUUUGGGUGGCGACCGUGCAUCCACCAAAGACGUGCACUGGAGCAUCCCCACAGCACGCAAGCCCGCAGAUUGGAGACAGUGCCUGCGAGGGGGCGACGAGGGCACGACAGCACUAGUGAGCCUGUACCCGCUCACGGAGCGUGCUGCUCGGAGUUGGCCACCAAGCGAAGGUGCACGCCACUUGGCUGACUUUGUUUCACUGCUCGUGGGUGCCCACUGCCUCUUCUCCGCUGCGCCCUGCCCCUCCGGCCCCUCAGCUGCUCUCUGCGUCCGCCUUGCUCACCCGCCUCCUCGUUGUUCCCGUGCACCAUGCCUUCUCUCACGCUCGCCUACUUCCCUUGCGCUUCUCCCUUUCCCCAUAAACAAACCACAAG
rnacentral:misc_RNA from 1 species